UACGUAGGGUGCAAGCGUUGUCCGGAAUUAUUGGGCGUAAAGAGCUCGUAGGCGGUUCGUCGCGUCGGCUGUGAAAUCCCGAGGCUCAACCUCGGGUCUGCAGUCGAUACGGGCGGACUGGAGUUCGGCAGGGGAGACUGGAAUUCCUGGUGUAGCGGUGGAAUGCGCGGAUAUCAGGAGGAACACCAAUAGCGAAGGCAGCUCGCUGGGACGGUAUUGACGCUAAGGCGCGAAAGCGUGGGGAGCAAACAGG
rnacentral:rRNA from 1 species